UGGGGGAUAUUGCACAAUGGGCGAAAGCCUGAUGCAGCGACGCCGCGUGGGGGAUGAAGGCUUUCGGGUUGUAAACCUCUUUCGCUAUCGAACAAGGCCCGCUUAGGGUGGGUUGAGGGUAGGUGGAGAAGAAGCGCCGGCUAACUACGUGCAGCAGCCGCGGUAAUACGUAGGGCGCGAGCGUUGUCCGGAAUUAUUGGGCGUAAAGGGCUUGUAGGCGGCUUGUUGCGCCUGCUGUGAAAACGCGGGGCUUAACUUCGCGCGUGCAGUGGGUACGGGCAGGCUUGAGUGUGGUAGGGGUGACUGGAAUUCCAGGUGUAGCGGUGGAAUGCGCAGAUAUCUGGAGGAACACCGAUGGCGAAGGCAGGUCACUGGGCCAUUACUGACGCUGAGGAGCGAAAGCAUGGGUAGCGAACAGG
rnacentral:rRNA from 1 species